UACGGAGGGUGCAAGCGUUAUCCGGAUUUACUGGGUUUAAAGGGUGUGUAGGCGGACUUUUAAGUCAGCGGUGAAAUCUCCGGGCUCAACCCGGAAACUGCCAUUGAUACUAUUAGUCUUGAAUAUUGUUGAGGUAGGCGGAACGGUCAUGUAGCGGUGAAAUGCAUAGAUAUGACCCGGAACACCGAUUGCGAAGGCAGCCUACUAAGCAAUUAUUGACGCUGAGGCACGAAAGCGUGGGGAUCAAACAGGAGUUAGAUACCCUGG
rnacentral:rRNA from 1 species